UACGGAGGGAGCUAGCGUUGUUCGGAAUUACUGGGCGUAAAGCGCACGUAGGCGGCUUUGUAAGUUAGAGGUGAAAGCCCGGGGGCUCAACCCCCGGAAUUGCCUUUAAGACUGCAUCGCUUGAAUCCGGGAGAGGUGAGUGGAAUUCCGAGUGUAGAGGUGAAAAUUCGUAGAUAUUCGGAAGAACACCAGUGGCGAAGGCGGCUCACUGGACCGGUAUUGACGCUGAGGUGCGAAAGCGUGGGGAGCAAACAGG
rnacentral:rRNA from 1 species